GGUGGCUGUAGUCGGCGCGGUUGCCGUUGGGGUUCUUGUGCUGCUCGAACCAGUUGAUCAGGUCGUGGUAACGGCCGUUCGGAUUCUGCCAGCCUUCG
rnacentral:tRNA from 1 species